rnacentral:rRNA from 1 species
CUUAUGCGUUGUUGGGUAGGGGAGCGUUCUGUAAGCCUGUGAAGGUGUACUGUGAGGUAUGCUGGAGGUAUCAGAAGUGCGAAUGCUGACAUAAGUAACGAUAAAGCGGGUGAAAAGCCCGCUCGCCGGAAGACCAAGGGUUCCUGUCCAACGUUAAUCGGGGCAGGGUGAGUCGACCCCUAAGGCGAGGCCGAAAGGCGUAGUCGAUGGGAAACAGGUUAAUAUUCCUGUACUUGGUGUUACUGCGAAGGGGGGACGGAGAAGGCUAUGUUGGCCGGGCGACGGUUGUCCCGGUUUAAGCGUGUAGGCUGGUUUUCCAGGCAAAUCCGGAAAAUCAAGGCUGAGGCGUGAUGACGAGGCACUACGGUGCUGAAGCAACAAAUGCCCUGCUUCCAGGAAAAGCCUCUAAGCAUCAGGUAACAUCAAAUCGUACCCCAAACCGACACAGGUGGUCAGGUAGAGAAUACCAAGGCGCUUGAGAGAACUCGGGUGAAGGAACUAGGCAAAAUGGUGCCGUAACUUCGGGAGAAGGCACGCUGAUAUGUAGGUGAAGCGACUUGCUCGUGGAGCUGAAAUCAGUCGAAGAUACCAGCUGGCUGCAACUGUUUAUUAAAAACACAGCACUGUGCAAACACGAAAGUGGACGUAUACGGUGUGACGCCUGCCCGGUGCCGGAAGGUUAAUUGAUGGGGUUAGCGGUAACGCGAAGCUCUUGAUCGAAGCCCCGGUAAACGGCGGCCGUAACUAUAACGGUCCUAAGGUAGCGAAAUUCCUUGUCGGGUAAGUUCCGACCUGCACGAAUGGCGUAAUGAUGGCCAGGCUGUCUCCACCCGAGACUCAGUGAAAUUGAACUCGCUGUGAAGAUGCAGUGUACCCGCGGCAAGACGGAAAGACCCCGUGAACCUUUACUAUAGCUUGACACUGAACAUUGAGCCUUGAUGUGUAGGAUAGGUGGGAGGCUUUGAAGUGUGGACGCCAGUCUGCAUGGAGCCGACCUUGAAAUACCACCCUUUAAUGUUUGAUGUUCUAACGUUGGCCCCUGAUC